UUCCAUGGACAAAAGUCAGCAUAGCUCCCAUCUGUUGAAAACAUUAAAGGUUGUGAGAACACUGACGGUAAAACGCCAUAAUUCAUGCUCUUCGGGGCUCAGACUGGCCUGAUGUAUUUGGGAGAGAAAUGUGGAAAUAUCAGCCGAGUGUGUACAGCCUGAUCCUCCCUGAUGACAGCAGGGAUAUAAAACCUGAGGCUCUGACGGUCUGCGGCUCCAUACUGCCUCGCCUCAGCAUGGAUGGGCCGCUGCUCUGCGGGCUGCUUUGUCUGCUGUUCUACCUGGUGGCAUCGACCCCUCUAGGGUCACCUCAAGACUCCUCUCUGACCACAGACACGCAGGGCCAUAGCUGGGAGACUGCAGAUGUCAGCACAGAUGUGCUUCCAGAGGUUCAGCUAACACAGAAGAGCUCCCCGUGGAAUCCUGCCAUCACUCACAUGAGCCUCAGGAUAAGACGGCAAACAGAUCAGAAAAAGAAGAAGAAGAAGAAGAAGAGGCCCAACCCAGGAUCUUCCUCCUUGCUAAGCGUGAGGACCCAUUUUAUAUUUAUAGCUACGAAAGCCACACGAUGACUAAUUGGUAAUAUGACAACCAAUUAAAAGGAUUACAUGUUGCAAAGACGAUCAAAGCAGACAUUAAUCCCAAUUUGCCUCCCAGGUGAGUCUGGAUGGGGUGAAAACACCGGCGGUGAGGCCUAACUCAGACUAAUAUUUGAUACCCUAAACUGAAUGUGUUGUUUUUUCAACGUGGCAACACACAGCCCAGUAAUCACACCAAACUGUGUUACUUCUGAGGUUAGAGUCCCCGAACCAAGAGGAACGCUGAUGUGGCUGCCUUCUUGCUGAUCCCAAAUGCUCCAUAGCAUUAGCAGGCAAGGAACUCCUCCUUCACUCAAAUUCAACUCCUAUUGAACAGACACACAUUAUGAGGUGUUUGAUAGACACACAUCGAGUAACUGACUACAUUUUCAUAGGCUAUUUGGUACAGAAUAGAAUUUCUAGUGAUUGUUAAAUAUAUCAGGAUUAAAUGUACUAUAAUGUAUAAUGAAAUAUGGACAUUUUGGAAAGUUAGUUUUUCAGGUAUAAUGCCUCAACAUGUUUACAGAUAUAGUGUAUAUUAUUUCAGUCAAGUUUCUAAUUCUACCAUAUUGGAAGAAAAUUUAAAUAUCAGAAACGGUCAGAUGGAUGAAGAACUGCAUCUGACAGUGGAGAAAAUAAGACUAGUGGUAGAAAUAAGACUUUUGAGGAAUGGCAUCAUUUCAUUCUUUCUUCUGAUAAAAUGGUAAUAGUGACUUGCUUUAUCAGAUAGAUUGUUCUGGGAUGUGUCAUCAAGUCCAUUUUCUGUCAUUCUAUGUCUCUUCUAGAAGUCUUGUAUGGGUUUGUUUGACAGCUACUGAAUGCAAAAUUCUGUUUUAAAUUUGGAAUGAAAGAACUAUACAACUAAAUGACAGAGUACUUGGCAGUUUCAUAGUAAAUAUAGUGGCACUACAAAGCUACCAAAUACUAAUAGACUGAAUGUAAAUCCCUUCUCUCUUUCAGGCCCCUAACCCUUUGCUGUGAACGCCGGACAGGAGACAGUUGAAGUUGAAGAAACCCAUUCCAUCCAGAUCAGAAGGUCACUGCAGGGGGUCAUGUUAGACUUCCUCAGUUCAACCCGUCUGCUAAGUCCUACUUUGCAUUUAUGGAUGGAGAGAUAAGAAUAGUCGGCGUGGUACCGCUGCUGGCCUUAUAUUUAGCAUUUAGUCACUGGUCUGUAGAGAUUUUAGUAUGGUUUGCCAGAAUUUUGCUCUAUGUUAAACUAUUUUUUUUCUCCCAGGUUGCCCACACCACAGAGGGAAAAAUAACAGUAUAACACAAAUUAUGUUCUUUUUAACCUGUUCUUUUUUUUUGUCACUGGUCAACAUGUGACAGCAGUGGCACAGAUUCAUGAACUGUAUGCUAAAACACACUUAGAUGAUGCAAAACAUAAGGUGAAACUUUAAAAUACAACAAAUAAACCAUAAAGACAUUUAUGUUUCA
rnacentral:lncRNA from 1 species